rnacentral:rRNA from 1 species
ACUCCUACGGGAGGCAGCAGUAGGGAAUCUUCCACAAUGGGCGCAAGCCUGAUGGAGCAACACCGCGUGAGUGAAGAAGGGUUUCGGCUCGUAAAGCUCUGUUGUUAAAGAAGAACACGUAUGAGAGUAACUGUUCAUACGUUGACGGUAUUUAACCAGAAAGUCACGGCUAACUACGUGCCAGCAGCCGCGGGUAAUACGUAGGUGGCAGGCGUUAUCCGGAUUUAUUGGGCGUAAAGAGAGUGCAGGCGGUUUUCUAAGUCUGAUGUGAAAGCCUUCGGCUUAACCGGAGAAGUGCAUCGGAAACUGGAUAACUUGAGUGCAGAAGAGGGUAGUGGAACUCCAUGUGUAGCGGUGGAAUGCGUAGAUAUAUGGAAGAACACCAGUGGCGAAGGCGGCUACCUGGUCUGCAACUGACGCUGAGACUCGAAAGCAUGGGUAGCGAACAGGAUUAGAUACCCU